rnacentral:rRNA from 1 species
AUUGAACGCUGGCGGAAUGCUUUACACAUGCAAGUCGAACGGUAGAGGGGGCAACCCCCUUGAGAGUGGGCGAACGGGUGAGUAAUAUAUCGGAACGUGCCCAGUCGUGGGGAUAACGUAGCGAAAGUUACGCUAAUACCGCAUACGAUCUAAGGAUGAAAGCGGGGGACUCGCAAGAGCCUCGCGCGAUUGGAGCGGCCGAUAUCAGAUUAGGUAGUUGGUGGGGUAAAGGCUCACCAAGCCAACGAUCUGUAGCUGGUCUGAGAGGACGACCAGCCACACUGGAACUGAGACACGGUCCAGACUCCUACGGGAGGCAGCAGUGGGGGAAUUUUGGGACAAUGGACGCAAGUCUGAUCCAGCCAUUCCGCGUGCAGGAUGAAGGCCCUCGGGUUGUAAACUGCUUUUGUACGGAACGAAAGGUUUCUAUUAAUACUAGGAGCUCAUGACGGUACCGUAAGAAUAAGCACCGGCUAAC